CUCGACCAGCCGCCUGGAGUUUCGGACUGGAUUGCGCUCGUAUUGACAGAGCUAUGAAGAGAAUGUGAAAGAUUCGUUGUCAAAUAGGGCUGCGCAUACGAGAUCAGUGGAGCAUCACAACGUUAUACAAUCCAAGUAAAGCGGACCAUUUGACGUACAUUAUUCAAUUAGAAUGCGUUGGGGGAGUUGUGCGAAUGACAUUGAGAGAAAGCAGUGGAACAUGUUGAGAAUCAAAUUUAAUUUCGUGUCCAUAAGGGAAAAAAAUUCGGACUCUGAGAUACAAAUAUCUCGCAGAAAUGGAAAGGGUUGCCAAGAAUUCACAAGAGUUGUAGCGGGAGUGGUCGAUUACAUGAAAGUACAACGAAAAGCUACAAUGACUAAUUAGACGAGUUCGAAGUCUCAGGUCGACGAGGAUCUUAAGGAACUCAUCGAGUCACAGAAAUGUCUCAAGAAGCUUUACUUUGGAUAAGAGAAGUUUCAAGAUGAGAAUACGAGGUACGUACCUCUUUAAAAAAAUUUGAUAUUAUUAAAUAGAAAGAUAACAAGAAAAAAAUGUUAUUGUGAC